rnacentral:rRNA from 1 species
GACGAACGCUGGCGGCGUGCCUAAUACAUGCAAGUCGAACGCAGUGGGGACGGGUGAGUAACACGUGGGUAACCUCCCAUCAGAGGGGAUAACACUUGGAAACAGGUGCUAAACCGAUACUGAUGGAUGGUCCCGCGGUGCAUUAGCUAGUUGGGGAGGUAACGGCUCACCAAGGCCACGAUGCAUAGCCGACCCGAGAGGGGGGACGGGCACACUGGGAAUUGGAAACGGCCCAGAAUCCUACGGGAGGGAGCAGUAGGGAAUCUUCGGCAAUGGACGAAAGUCUGACCGAGCAACGCCGUGUGAGUGAAGAAGGUUUUCGGAUCGUAAAACUCUGUUGUUAGAGAAGCGGUAUCUAACCAGAAAGCCACGGCUAACUACGUGCCAGCAGCCGCGGUAAUAC